GUUCAGACAGGGAUACGCUCUGCCACAGGCUCUGUAGGUCAGUGUACAGACCCUCUACCACAGGCUCUGUAGGUCAGUGUACAGACCCUCUACCACAGGCUCCGUAGGUCAGUGUACAGACCCUCUACCACAGGCUCUGUAGGUCAGUGUACAGACCCUCUACCACAGGCUCUGUAGGUCAGUGUACAGACCCUCUACCACAGGCUCUGUAGGUCAGUGUUUAGACCCUCUGUAGGUCAGUGUUCAGACCCUCUACCACAGGCUCUGUAGGUCAGUGUUCAGACCCUCUACCACAGGCUCUGUAGGUCAGUGUUUAGACCCUCUGUAAGCCAGUGUUCAGAGAUAAAACUCUCCCACAGGCUCUGUAGGUCAGUGUUUAGACCCUCUGCAGGUCAGUGUUCAGAGAUAAAACUCUCCCACAGGCUCUGUAGGUCGGUGUUCAGACCCUCUGUAGGUCAGUGUUCAGACCCUCUGUAGGUCGGUGUUCAGACCAGAGAUACACUCUACCACAGGCUGUUCACUGUUAUCCAGCCGCUCAUAUUCACACAUGGCUGUUCGUAUUAAGAUGUGUUUUUAUUAUCGAGAUAUGACGAGCAUUGUGCUCACUUGGUUUACUAUGAUGGAAUUGAACUCAAACGUGAGGUUGAAAAGGUUGUUUUAGUAAAGCCACAUAGUUUAAGACAUAAAGAAAUGUUAAAUGGCUUAAAUAAAGUGAAAGGAUUUGAACAGUCCAAAUGGAGUGAACAUUGUUAACAAAAUUGCUGCAGUGAUACAUUUUGAAUACAUUUGAGAUAAAAUAUAGUGUAGCUGAUCUGUUAAAGCGGAUAAAGCAUGAAAUAAAAUAAAAAUUGAGGAAGUUACGAAGUCUGAAGUAAUUGACGUAUCAGAGAAUGGGCGGAAGGCUUUGCCAUCCUCCCAUUGACUU